CAGCAGACUAACUGAGGCAGGGCUGUGGGGGGAGCAUUUGGUGGUGCCGUGACGCUAACCUUCCUUAUCAUGCAGAGAUGCAGAAGGUGGCCAGCUGUUUUCCAUUUCCUAGGGGGCACGCAGCCCUUCUCAGACUUUUUGAAGCUCAGAUUCUUGGGCCCCACCCAGAAUUUCCCAUUCCGCUGGUCUGGCCGGGGCUCGUGAAUUUGCAUUUCCAAGUCCCAGAAAAAGAAAGAAGCUGAGAAGGAACUGCAUUUUACUACAAAGGAGACUUCUGCGAAGGAGGACCCAAAAAACCAGAAUUAUAUUUUGGAAGAUGAACAAGGUCCUCAAAGGAAAACUUUUUGCCAGUGUGGAAGAGGUGAAACAAAAAAAUGGCAGAUGAACAAGGUCCUCAGAGGAAAACUUUUUGCCAGUGUGGAA